rnacentral:rRNA from 1 species
UACGUAGGGGGCGAGCGUUGUCCGGAAUUAUUGGGCGUAAAGCGCGCGUAGGCGGGAUAUUCAGUCUGGUGUAAAAGGGCGGGGCUUAACCCCGGAAGGUCAAUGGAAACUGCUAUUCUUGAGUGCAGGAGAGGAGAGUGGAAUUCCCAGUGUAGCGGUGAAAUGCGUAGAUAUUGGGAGGAACACCAGUAGCGAAGGCGACUUUCUGGACUGUGUCUGACGCUGAGGCGCGAAAGCGAGGGGAGCGAACGGG